rnacentral:rRNA from 1 species
AUGGCUCAGGACGAACGCUGGCGGCGUGCUUAACACAUGCAAGUCGAGCGAUGAAGCUUCUUCGGAAGUGGAUUAGCGGCGGACGGGUGAGUAACACGUGGGUAACCUGCCUCAUAGAGGGGAAUAGCCUUCCGAAAGGAAGAUUAAUACCGCAUAAGAUUGUAAUAUCGCAUGAUAUAGCAAUUAAAGGAGUAAUCCGCUAUGAGAUGGACCCGCGUCGCAUUAGCUAGUUGGUGAGGUAACGGCUCACCAAGGCGACGAUGCGUAGCCGACCUGAGAGGGUGAUCGGCCACAUUGGGACUGAGACACGGCCCAGACUCCUACGGGAGGCAGCAGUGGGGAAUAUUGCACAAUGGGGGAAACCCUGAUGCCAGCAACGCCGCGUGAGUGAUGACGGUCUUCGGAUUGUAAAGCUCUGUCUUCAGGGACGAUAAUGACGGUACCCGAGGAGGAAGCCACGGCUAACUACGUGCCAGCCGCCGC